CGUCAAGAUUCUAUCCUCUUAUUGUAAAGUCAUGUAACAGUGCUGUUUCAGAAAUUUUAGAGUCACUCACCAAUAUCAAGAAUAAGGAUUAUAAGAAUAUGUUAACACUUUCAUGUAUUAGUCCUAUCAGAGAGCAAUUGGAAAUUCCUCUCUUUGAGGGAAAUGCUUUAAUGAUCUAUAAUCAUCAAGUCUACAUUCUGUAUGUAAUGAGGCAUGAAGAUCUGGCGGCAGAGAUGAAAGUAUCUGGCCACCAUAUGUUGUUUAUGAAGACUGUUGUUUGGCUUGUUACAUGUCGCUCUGUUCGUAAACUAACAUUCCAAGAUGCACAUCCACUGCUGUUGAGAGAGCAUGCUGUGAAACACAACAUAAAAUGUCUUACAGCCUGUGCUACCCCUACAGCCCAAAAGAAAACAUCAAAUGAAAUACAUUUCUCUUCACACAAGAGGACUGCAAUCUCUCAGGCUGAGAACUGCUCCCCUCUUGCUGGGAAAAGGCAGCAGGUGGUAACCCAUGAUGAUCAGUUCCUCAGCAAGACUGCAUUCCCAUCCAAAGAAGACUUGCAGAAAAGAAAUGAUGAAAAAGCGCGUUGGGAUAAAGAUAAGAAAAUAAGAAAGAGAUUUGGUCUUGUUAAAGGUGUAAGAGUUGUUCUCAACAGGCUAAGUGCCUCAGAGCUUAGGAAGUUGACCGCCGAACCAUCUGCACUUAAAAAACAAGAUGGGGAGCAUCAUUGAUGUGUUGUCAGCAUUCAUGAAAAUAUACUAUGCCUUCUUGUGAAAUAUUUCAAGGUCAGCUAGAGCAAAACUCUCAAAAGAAUAUGUUAAACCACAGAAACUCCAAAGUCAAGAAGCACAAGUGUCCUGAGUUUAAAUAAGAGGAUGAACUCAUCCAAGUUAGAACAGAGGGCAGCCAGGAAAGGAAGUCUCCUGCUACAUGGAAACUUCAUUUUUUCAGAAUUUGGUUUUAGUCUGGAUUAGAUGAAAUCUUUUUAUUCUUCCCAGUUUUCCAGGCAGCAGGAAGCUGCUCAUGGAAUGGCUUAGCUAAGCUCCCUCUAUUACCAACAGCAAAGCCCAGUAUCAGCAUCACUGAAGGCUGGGGCUUCCCAGACUCCCUGGCCAGCCUCCCAGGCGAUAGCUGUGGGGUUACCUCAGGAUUCUGGACAUUCAGCAAAAGUUCAUCAAGUGCAAGAAAUUUUAGACUCAAAAACAUGGACUCUGUCAAAUAAAAUUUGUUCCAUGAG
rnacentral:lncRNA from 1 species